rnacentral:rRNA from 1 species
AUAUAACUAAGCGGAGGAAAAGAAACUAACCAGGAUUUCCCUAGUAACGGCGAGUGAAGCGGAAAGAGCUCAGACCUAGAAUCUUCGGAGUUGUGGUCUGGAGAAGGCGGUGCUCGGCAGCGUGCGUCGAUAAAGUUGUCUGGAAAGACACGCCGAGGAGGGUGACAGCCCCGUUCAUAUCGAUGCCAGCGGCCGGUCAGCCCGUCUUCCACGAGUCGAGUUGUUUGGGAUUGCAGCUCUAAUUGGGUGGUAAAUUCCAUCUAAAGCUAAAUAUGGAUGGGAGACCGAUAGCGAACAAGUACCGUGAGGGAAAGAUGAAAAGAACUUUGAAAAGAGAGUGAAAUAGUACCUGAAAUUGCUGAAAAGGAACCGAUGGGCAGCAGUGGUGCGCUCGGUGGGGUUCCCACCGGGUGUGGGUCAGGCUUGCUUCUUCGCGAGGGAAAGGACCUGGAUGCAGCUUCUGCGCCAGUGCUCCGUCACGCGAAGGAGCGACUCUGGCGAAAUGCUUCUCAUCAA